GGGGCCUUAGCUCAUCUGGGAGAGCGCCUGCCUUGCAAGCAGGAGGUGGCGGGUUCGAGUCCCGCAGGUUCCACCA
rnacentral:tRNA from 1 species